rnacentral:pre_miRNA from 16 species
UUAGCACUUCUUGAUCGUAUACAGAUUGUAUCCUGAUUAUCGAUAAAUGAUUUAUUGGGAGAGAUUAUAUACUCCAAAUAACCGAAUUCCGGAUUACCAUCUGUAUACGUAUCGAGACAGCAC